CUGAGACAUUGUUUCUAGAAAAUUCCCCUAGCCAGGAGAAGAGUAUCUAUUCUUUUUUUUUUUUUUUUUUUCAUUCUGGGUGAGAUUUGUAAUCACUUAAUCAGGGCUGGUCCCCCCCCCCCCCAAACUUAAAAAAUAUGUUCAUCAAUUUCUACUAACUAUUCAGCAGUCACUACUUUAAAAACUCCAAAAACUGAGAAUUCCUAAGAUCCCUCUGAAGUCACUGACAUUAAAAAUGGAGUUCAAGAUGAUGAAACACCUUUUCCCCCCUAAUUGGUGAAUAUAUAUGUUUUUCCUUAAGUUACUGAUCCUUCCUGUCGUUCUGCUCUACGUGACUCAGGAUAAAGCCUUCCAGAUGGAAUGAGCCACUUUCAACAAAGCCUGCAUUGCAACACCACCACUAACAACAACAAAAAAGAUCAAAUAACCACAGAAACCCUGGUGAUCAGAUCAAAUAACCACAGAAACCCUGGUGAUCUUAAGCAUUUGAAGAUGAAUGCAUUAAGAAAGAGCUAGGAAUCAAGAGUGAAGAGGGUGAUAGAGAAGGAGAGAGACAGACACCUGCAACACUGCUUCACCACUUGCAAAGCUUUCCCCCUGCAGGUGGGGACAGGGAAGCUCGAACCCGGGUCCCUGUGUGUUCUGACAUGUGCACUCAGCCAGGUGCACCACCACCCGGCCCCUGACCCAAACCCUUUCUAAAGGAGGUCAUUCAUUUAUAUACCUACAGCAUAGGGAAGGUGAACAUGCAGAUAUUUUGGCGUCUCCGUGCACAGGACACAAGUCAACAUCAACACCAAGAGACCUAAAGCAUCCAGAUGGCAAGUUGUUUACACUGGGCCACUUCCGCCUUGCAAGAAGAAGCAGUUCAUC